GACGAACGCUGGCGGCGUGCUUAACACAUGCAAGCCGAGCGGUAAGGCCCUUUCGGGGGUACACGAGCGGCGAACGGGUGAGUAACACGUGGGUGACCUGCCCUUAGCUCUGGGAUAAGCCUGGGAAACUGGGUCUAAUACCGGAUAUGACUCCAUGACGCAUGUUGUGGGGUGGAAAGCCUUGUGCGGCUAGGGAUGGGCCCGCGGCCUAUCAGCUUGUUGGUGGGGUGAUGGCCUACCAAGGCGACGACGGGUAGCCGGCCUGAGAGGGCGACCGGCCACACUGGGACUGAGACACGGCCCAGACUCCUACGGGAGGCAGCAGUGGGGAAUCUUGCGCAAUGGGCGAAAGCCUGACGCAGCGACGCCGCGUGAGGGAUGACGGCCUCGGU
rnacentral:rRNA from 1 species